AUUGAACGCUGGCGGCAGGCCUAACACAUGCAAGUCGAGCGCGAAAGGCCUUCGGGCUGAGUAGAGCGGCGGACGGGUGAGUAACGCGUAGGAAUCUACCUGGUAGUGGGGGACAACAUGGGGAAACCCAUGCUAAUGCCGCAUACGCCCUAAGGGGGAAAGCGGGGGACCUUCGGGCCUCGCGCUAUCAGAUGAGCCUGCGUAGGAUUAGCUUGUUGGUGAGGUAAAGGCUCACCAAGGCGACGAUCCUUAGCUGGUCUGAGAGGAUGAUCGGCCACACUGGGACUGAGACACGGCCCAGACUCCUACGGGAGGCAGCAGUGGGGAAUAUUGCGCAAUGGGCGAAAGCCUGACGCAGCCAUGCCGCGUGUGUGAAGAAGGCCUUCGGGUUGUAAAGCACUUUCAAUUGGGAAGAAAGGUUGUACGUUAAUAGCGUGCAGCUGUGACGUUACCUUUAGAAGAAGCACCGGCUAACUCCGUGCCAGCAGCCGCGGUAAUACGGAGGGUGCGAGCGUUAAUCGGAAUUACUGGGCGUAAAGCGCGCGUAGGCGGUUUGUUAAGUCGGAUGUGAAAGCCCCGGGCUCAGCCUGGGAAUUGCAUUCGAUACUGGCCGAC
rnacentral:rRNA from 1 species